CCUGGAUCCGGACCUUUAACUGGAUCUGGACCAAAAGGUAACGGGUUUUUCCCUGGCCCCUCCCCAUCCCUCCAGCAAGUUUGGUGCAGUCAGUUCAGUAGUUUUUGCCCAAUCCUGCUGACAAACAAAUAAACAGACAGACACUGGUGAAAACAGAACCUCUUUGAUGGAGGUAAUAAAAAGCUUGGAGCCCCACACACAGAAUCAGGCUGCCAGAGAGCUGCUCUGCUUUCAAGAUGGAGCUUUUACCAAAAUUAACCGUCAUCCAAAAGCUCUGCCCCCAGGGAAAUCUGUGUGGGAGUCCGAGUCAGCGCCUGCACAAGGCACAAGGCGGUAAUUCCUGUUCAUUUUAAACCCGACAUAAACAAUGUUUUGGCCGGGAUGUUUCACAGCGUUUGAAUCCUUUGUCCCUCCUUCACUUAUUCCCUCUUUCUUGAGGAGACGCGGACGCAUGCAUGGUGUGGCACUCAGCUCGUGAAACUGAAUUUUGAGACACUUCGCACCUCCACACACUUGACCAAUCACUGUGUACGUGUGCGUGAUUGUCGGAUGGUAGAUUUCAAAACCGGUGGAUGCGGCUCGUCCACUUCUGCCUUCAGGGGCGUAAUCAGACAGUCUUCCACGCAAUUUGUUUUAAGCAUGCUGAGGUCUAUAUGGUGCCCAUGAUUUUUUUCAUUAUUUCAUGGCUUCUGGGCCCAAACUCCUAUUAAUGUGGCCGCUGAAUUGCUGGUUUUGUUUCACUUUUUUGUAAACUGCUUAAAUGGGCCCUUGUAAUUAAAUGUUUCUCUGUAUGUCACUAAAUCUUAUAUUACAUCUGUUAUCUAUACAAAAUGGCCAAAAACAUCAACAUUUUCUGUUCACCAAAGUGGGUUCCAGUAAAAACAAGUCUAAGUCUUCUGUGAAUGAAUUGGCUCCGAAUACACUAACAUGCCUUCUAUAGACCACUUACUGUAAGUAGAUAAAAAGAAAAGAAAAAAAAUUGUACUACACCAUGAAACCCAGUGUUUUUCUUUAUUUAUCUUUCACU